rnacentral:sRNA from 1 species
UGCGGCCGCCGCUCCCUCUGCGACCUGUAUGAGGAGGAGGAGGAGGAGGAUGUGAAGAUGGCGGAGCUGCAGAUGCUGCUGGAAGAGGAAAUCCCGGGGGGCCGCCGGGCCCUCUUCGACAGCUACACAAAUCUGGAACGGGUGGCCGAUUACUGCGAGAACAACUACAUACAGUCAGCAGAUAAGCAGAGAGCCCUAGAAGAAACCAAAGCCUAUACCACCCAAUCCUUAGCAAGUGUUGCCUAUCUGAUAAACACCUUGGCCAACAAUGUCCUGCAGAUGCUGGAUAUCCAGGCAUCCCAGCUACGAAGGAUGGAAUCUUCAAUCAAUCAUAUUUCACAAGUGAGACCACAAUAUUUUCCUAUUUGCCUAUGAGGAACCCUUAAUAAUAAACACAGGCUAUCUGUAAUGCUGGCAGCUUUUAUUAUGUAAGUUAACUCACAUGUACGAUUUGGAAAAUAGAAACUUAAUAUUAGGUUGUUUUUAGAUUUUGUCUUUUUGUGGGAUGGUUAUCUUCUCUGUGAUUUUGAUAGGAAAGUAAAUCGUAAUGAAUUUUAUUAAAACUCAGUUGUCAUGGUAACAUAAUCAGCCGUAUAAUGAAACUUCAUCCUUCCCCUCGCUUUUUUUUUUAAAAACAAAUUUCAUACUUCUUUAUCAACUUAAAAAGAUAAACUUGAUAGAUUGGUGGCUUGUUCAAAAAUUUUUUUUUCUUUU